UCUCUACACCCUCUCCCAGGCUGCAGGUGGGGGUGGGGGAGGGACUCCAUUUUGACCUGUCCUGUCCUCUCUCCCCACAGCCCUGGGGACAGGGACCACAGGCGUCCUGCUCCCUACAGUCUUUCCAGUCUCAAGGGCACAGGGAGUGGAAAGGCUGGGGACCUGGGACUGACCAAGCGCACAUGCCCAAAGCCAGAGUUUAAUCUGAUGACUCCAGACCAGCAAGGAAGGGGCCACACUGGCCCACCUUGUGCUGGCACAUGGUGGCCCUGGGCCUCCUGGUCCACAUACUUGGGCUGCCCCUGCCCCUCUGAAGCCUCUUUCAGGAGUCCAGACUCUGACUGCAGAUCUGCUCAGGUCGACACGUGCAUGGCCUUCGAUGUCCAAAGCCAGUCAAGGUUGCUUGCUACAGGACCAGGAAGUGCCAACCUGUUCUCCACAGAGCCUGUGCCAGUCCGCUCUCGACCGAUAAUGGAUUGGAUAUCCGCAGGUCUUAGUGUCUUUGUCAAUCUGAGAAGGGAUAAUCCCCCCAAUCCCCACCCCAGAUGUUUCUUUGAUCAUCUGAGCAUCUCUGUGUCCGUCCACACCUCCUCCUCUAUCUUCGCUGCCCCAGUCCUGUUCCCUCUGUGAGGUCAUCACGGAUGACCUGGUCACUCUCUGUUCCUCCUGCUGCGCACACCAUGGGAGCUCUGUAAACAUUUGCUGGGUGAAUAAAUCAACAAGUGUUGAACGCAUGCCAUAUUAAAGAGCUUGGUUCACGUCCUGAAGAAGGUCGGAAGGCA